CAAAAGUCAAGAGGUUUAAUAACUAAAUAUUUAUCUUUUUAUUUUAGAUGCAUUUUAGCUUAAUUUAGUUACAUUUCUAACAAAAAUUGGUGGAAUAGAGCUGGUAAAAACCACUGCAUAUGUUACGUUGCGAGGUUACGAAAUCAGACGAUAAGGAUACGAAUGUAGAUGAUGAUGUCGCACAAACAGGUGCAUGAUGAACAAGCGGUAGACGGUGUUCAAGUAAGAUUUUUGAUAAUGCAUAAACCAGAGAAAGCAGUGAUCCAAAAUAUUUGUUUAUGAGUUUAUCGAUUUUAGUAGUAAUCUUUGACUUAACAUUAAUGUAAAAUUUUAUUUUUUGCUAAUUGAGAUUAAAUUUAAAAAAAUUU